rnacentral:lncRNA from 1 species
CACAGCUCCAGUGAGUGCACUGUCUGUGUUGCCAGGCAACCAUACUAAACAGAGUAAUGGAGGAGUGUGUGAGACUGGUGGUAAACUGGUGGGACUGGGUUUAACUGGUUGUUGGUCAGUCAGGGAUGAUUUAAUCUCUCAGUAUAUUAAUAAUUAAUCUUCAGGCUGAUGAUAUUGAUGGCUGGUCUCACUCAGGCUAUAGAUGAUCUGAUUGGCAGGCUGUGUUUGGACAGUUAUCCGUGUGGCAGGGGCAGCUGGUGUAAACCAAGGCUGCGAGAAUGUGAGGAGCAGGAUGAUGAUGGUGAGUGUGAUGAUGCGGCUUUGGAGGAGGAAGAUGCUCUGCUGGAGCUGCUGAGAAGCCCACUGUCACCCUGGAGAGAGGAAUAUUCCUGGAGUCCUCAGGCCUUAGCCUUGAGAGAACUGGCAGUGAAGACUCCAGAAAUUCUUAAAGACAACUUCAUUUAUUCAUUCUUCACAGUUCUGCGCAUUGUAGACAAGAGGGUGAGUUUUAUUUAUUUAUUUAUUUAUUUAUCGAGUUCAUUUGUUUUACUUUUCUCUCUUUUAGUUUAGACU